ensembl:lncRNA
CAUGGGGGCCGCAGCCUCCCUCUUGGGUCCCCGUGACCUGCAGCAGCUCAGAACUGCACCCACAGGCUCAGGUCUAGGAGGAAGCCAGUGUCGUGGGAUGAUCUGACGUACAUCCACAUGUUCGGUUCCAAGUCUGUUUUUGGGCCCAGAUUAGUCAAAGAUUCGGGGUCAGGUCUGGAGGAGACUCUUGAGAGUCUCUUGGACUGCAAGGAAAUCAAAUCAGUCAAUCCUAAAGGAAAUCAACUCUGGAUAUUCAUUGGAAGGACUGAUGCUGCCAAUGGACUGAAGCUCCAGUACUUCGGCCACCUGAUGCGAAGAGCUGACUCAUUGAAAAAGACCCUGAUGCUGGAAAAGAUUGAAGCCUGCCACAGGGGCCUGAAGGUCGUGAGAAAAACAGCCACUUUCUCUGCGCCACUUGCCUGUCCGCACCCACCGCCCUCCGAAGAGCAGGGCCGGCCCGGAGCCACCACCUCCACCUCCGUUCCCUGUCUCAUCCUGCCCCCUGGUGUUGAGGACCCGAGACACGGAGACACCAGACCUGGCAGAAAAUGAAGAGCAGACAACAACAUCUCUUUGGGGAUAUGGAUAAUUAACUUCUCAGCAGACAGCGGAGGCUGGCCUCUGGUCUGGAUGAGGAGCUGGGGUCAUUCUGAGUCAGGCCAGAGAGAGGAGCCUCGCUCCAGCGGGGAGGGACAAGGCUGUACCGGGCAGCCUGGGGUCCCAUUUUCGUGGUUUCGGCAAGAUGACAGGAGUUGCCUUACAAAUCACGUCGUGGCCAUCGCUGGGCGCCCUCUGCA